rnacentral:sRNA from 1 species
CUGGGAUUACAGGCGUGAGCCACUGCGACCGGCCCAAAGUUAACCUUCUGUCGAACGGUUUAUAUCUGGAAAGGGUGUGGGCCGAAGAUAUGCUCAUGUGGUGUUGAGGAAAGCAGACAUUGACCUCACCAAGAGGGCGGGAGAACUCACUGAGGAUGAGGUGGAACGUGUGAUCACCAUUAUGCAGAAUCCACGCCAGUACAAGAUCCCAGACUGGUUCUUGAACAGACAGAAGGAUGUAAAGGAUGGGAAAUACAGCCAGGUCCUAGCCAAUGGUCUGGACAACAAGCUCCGUGAAGACCUGGAGCGACUGAAGAAGAUUCGGGCCCAUAGAGGGCUGCGUCACUUCUGGGGCCUUCGUGUCCGAGGCCAGCACACCAAGACCACUGGCCGCCGUGGCCGCACCGUGGGUGUGUCCAAGAAGAAAUAAGUCUGUAGGCCUUGUCUGUUAAUAAAUAGUUUAUAUACCUAUGG